GCAAGUCGAACGGCAGCGCGGACUUCGGUCUGGCGGCGAGUGGCGAACGGGUGAGUAAUACAUCGGAACGUACCCUGUUGUGGGGGAUAACUAGUCGAAAGAUUAGCUAAUACCGCAUACGACCUGAGGGUGAAAGUGGGGGACCGCAAGGCCUCACGCAGCAGGAGCGGCCGAUGUCUGAUUAGCUAGUUGGUGGGGUAAAGGCCCACCAAGGCGACGAUCAGUAGCUGGUCUGAGAGGACGAUCAGCCACACUGGGACUGAGACACGGCCCAGACUCCUACGGGAGGCAGCAGUGGGGAAUUUUGGACAAUGGGGGCAACCCUGAUCCAGCAAUGCCGCGUGUGUGAAGAAGGCCUUCGGGUUGUAAAGCACUUUUGUCCGGAAAGAAAUCGCGCUGGUUAAUACCUGGCGUGGAUGACGGUACCGGAAGAAUAAGCACCGGCUAACUACGUGCCAGCAGCCGCGGUAAUACGUAGGGUGCGAGCGUUAAUCGGAAUUACUGGGCGUAAAGCGUGCGCAGGCGGUUUUGUAAGACAGGCGUGAAAUCCCCGGGCUUAACCUGAGGAUUGCGCUUGUGACUGCAAGGCUAGAGUGCGUCAGAGGGGGGUAGAAUUCCACGUGUAGCAGUGAAAUGCGUAGAGAUGUGGAGGAAUACCGAUGGCGAAGGCAGCCCCCUGGGACGUGACUGACGCUCAUGCACGAAAGCGUGGGGAGCACACAGGAUUAGAUACCCUGUUAGUCCACGCCCUAAACGAUGUCAACUAGUUGUUGGGGAUUCAUUUUCUCAGUAACGUAGCUAACGCGUGAAGUUGACCGCCUGGGGAGUACGGU
rnacentral:rRNA from 1 species